UAUGAAUUGCCUGAUUAAAGGGCUACCUUGAUAGGGUAAAUUAAGUAAUUUUAAUUACCUUCAUUA
rnacentral:tRNA from 1 species